UACGUAGGGGGCAAGCGUUGUCCGGAUUUAUUGGGCGUAAAGAGCGUGUAGGCGGCCAUACAGGUCCGUUGUGAAAACUGGAGGCUUAACCUCCAGACGUCGAUGGAAACCGUAUGGCUAGAGUCCGGAAGAGGAGAGCGGAAUUCCUGGUGUAGCGGUGAAAUGCGCAGAUAUCAGGAAGAACACCCGUGGCGAAGGCGGCUCUCUGGGACGGUACUGACGCUGAGACGCGAAAGCGUGGGGAGCAAACAGG
rnacentral:rRNA from 1 species